UUUCAACAUCCCUAGCAAAUAUAAAUCAUUUAGUGAGGUCUUAGACCUUUUUCUGUUGGUUUGAAUUCCAAAGAUGGGUGUUGUGAAAGUUAUAGCUAUUUGUUAAAUAAAAAGAAUUUUCAGAUGAAAUUUAAAAUGAAGGGAAAAAUUAAGUUACAUAAUGAUUUCAGAAUCAGAGCUUCACAACAAGCUCUGGUAGCUCUAAAUUUAACAAAUACAGACAGUGGGCUAAGAGCUGCUGCUGAACUUGCUGAAGGCUACAAGUACUUUAUAACAUGUUUAUGGCAGGGAAUAGGAAAUGGAUUCAUCAGGGUGGAAUGGUAGCUGGAUACACAUAGAAGAGGAAGUGAAGUAUUUACUUUUGCUUCCCUUUUGGGCAAACCUGAGGAACACUGACUCAAAUUAUUAGCACCAGAACAGUUUAGGUUUGCCUUUUCUGUGAGACUUACUUCACAAACUCAGCUUUCUUUAA
rnacentral:lncRNA from 1 species